rnacentral:rRNA from 1 species
GUGCCAGCAGCCGCGGUAAUACGUAGGUGGCGAGCGUUGUCCGGAUUUAUUGGGCGUAAAGCGCGCGCAGGCGGUUCGUUAAGUCCCGUGUGAAAGCUCCCGGCUCAACUGGGAGAGGUCGCGGGAGACUGGCGGACUGGAGGCAGGCAGAGGCCGGUGGAAUUCCCGGUGUAGUGGUGAAAUGCGUAGAGAUCGGGAGGAACACCUGUGGCGAAGGCGGCCGGCUGGGCCUGUCCUGACGCUGAGGCGCGAAAGCGUGGGGAGCGAACCGGAUUAGAAACCCUCGUAGUCC